rnacentral:lncRNA from 1 species
AUGUCCUCUGAAGUCAUGCUUCUUCUCAGACAGGUCAAUUUGUUGAACUGGAGCAAGCUUUUCCAUUGCCUCACCAAGAGAAGAUUCCAAUCAUGGAGCUCUUCACUCCUGGGUGGGAGAAAGAGGAAACAGGAUUCACUGCUUUUGUCUCGUCCCAAGGCCUCCACUGUGAUCCUUCACUCUUCAAAACUGCCAUCUUCUUCAUUUCUCCUAGUCCGCAUGAAAAUGAAAGCUCCCAGUCCUCCUGAGCAUGAGACUCAGUUCAACUUCAUUAUAAUAUUAGAUGAAUUGCCCCUUCCUCUCCAAAAGGUCAGAAGGGGCCUCUAUGUUGAGAAAUGGAAGCACAAGGAAGAUGAAGUUACUUGUCCAAUGUCACACAUUGAGUCAUCUAUGGGACAAGAAUUACAGACCAGACCUUCUGACCUUCACGACUCUGUCAAUACAACUUCAUUACUUCUUAGCUCAAUUGCUGGUAUGUAAAUGUCCACCUCUGGCAAAGACAACAGAAACCACCUGAGAACAACCAUUUGGGAAAAUCUUUUUAGAAUGUAAAUCCACCUGAGAGGCCCUGGCAAAAGCAUGUGAUAAGCCUGCUGCUGCUGCUGCUGCUGCUGCUAAGUUGCUUCAGUCGUGUCCAACUCUGUGUGACCCCAUAGACACCAGCCCCCUAGGCUCCCCCGUCCCUGGGAUUCUCCAGGCAAGAACACUGGAGUGGGUUGCCAUUUCUUUCUCCAAUGCAUGAAAGUGAAAAGUGAAAGGGAAGAAGCCUGGACAUAUACAAAGUCUCAGCAAGGAGCUUCAAACUUGUCAGGAAAAUGAGAAGUGAAGCAGGACUCAUUCAUGUAAGAGAAGAGGUAAAAAGAUGAUUUAUCACCAGGCUACUUGGAAAAAAAUACUGCAAAAAACAGAAAUAGCCAGUUAAGCACUGAUGAUUUUUGUGCCAGUGUGGUAGCUCAGCUGGUAAAGAAUCUGCCUGCAAUGCAGGAGACCCUGGUUCGAUCCCUGGGUUGGG